GAUGAACGCUGGCGGCGUGCCUAAUACAUGCAAGUAGAACGCUGAAGGAAGGAGCUUGCUCUUUCCGGAUGAGUUGCGAAAGGGUGAGUAACGCGUAGGUAACCUGCCUGGUAGUGGGGGAUAACUAUUGGAAACGAUAGCUAAUACCGCAUAACAGUAGAUGUUGCAUGAUAUCUACUUAAAAGGUGCAAUUGCACCAAUACCAGAUGGAAAUGCGUUGUAUUAGCUAGUUGGUGAGGUAACGGCUCACCAAGGCGACGAUACAUAGCCGACCUGAGAGGGUGAUCGGCCACACUGGGACUAAGACACGUCCCAGACUCCUACGGGGAUCCGCAAUAGUAACUCUUCGACAAUGGACGAAAGUCUGACCGAGCAACACCGCGUGAGUGAAGAAGGUUUUCAUAUCGUAAAGCUCUGUUGUAAGAGAAGAACUCGUAUAAGAGUGGAAAGUUCACACUGUAACGGUAUCUUACCAGAAAGGGACGGCUAACUACGUG
rnacentral:rRNA from 1 species